rnacentral:sRNA from 1 species
GUGAUUGAAAAGGUGGUGGACAUAGACUUUGUGCUACAGGUAUAAUCUUCAGCCAUGCCCCUGGUUCCCCCCAAAUGAGUCUUCCAUUAUCUUCCUAUUCUUUAUCAUCUUAGCCUAUCCUAUGGUAACACCUGCAGGCCCGCACAAUCCGCCAGUUUGAUGAGCGCUACACGUCUGUGGCCUUUGGAUAUCAAAACUGUGUUACCUACUACAAAGCAGCAAGCCCUAGAACCAAGGUAGAUGCCAUCCGGAUCCCUGUGCUCUGUCUCAAUGCAGCGGAUGACCCCUUCUCCCGUUUGUGCCCUUCCCAUACAGGCCGCCCAACACUCCCCCUACGUUGCGCUGCUCAUCACAGCCCGGGGUGGCCACAUCGGCUUCCUGGAAGGGCUGCUCCCAUGGCAGCACUGCUACAUGAGCCGCCUCUUGCAUCAGUACGCCAAAGCCAUCUUCCAGCAC